rnacentral:rRNA from 1 species
AUUGAACGCUGGCGGAAUGCUUUACACAUGCAAGUCGAACGGCAGCACGGGAGCUUGCUCCUGGUGGCGAGUGGCGAACGGGUGAGUAAUGCGUCGGAACGUGCCGAGUAAUGGGGGAUAACGUAGCGAAAGUUACGCUAAUACCGCAUAUUCUGUGAGCAGGAAAGCAGGGGAUCGCAAGACCUUGCGCUGAUUGAGCGGCCGAUAUCAGAUUAGCUAGUUGGUGAGGUAAAGGCUCACCAAGGCGACGAUCUGUAGCGGGUCUGAGAGGAUGAUCCGCCACACUGGAACUGAGACACGGUCCAGACUCCUACGGGAGGCAGCAGUGGGGAAUUUUGGUACAAUGGGCGGCAAGACCUCGAUCCA